rfam:Rhizophagus irregularis DAOM 197198w jcf7180003174708, whole genome shotgun sequence.
UCGACUGUACUUUACAGGAUCUGUAUAUAGUCAGUCACCCGUCUUUGUUUUCCAACUCAGACACAACGUUAAGGCUGGAUGAUGAAGUAUAGUACUCUAUCCGUAAAGGGAUGUGUGGAAUCAAAGAUCUCCAAAUUUCCUUCGGGAUGUUUGGAGAUUAUUUGAUUCCAGUUGAUGAACUUGCCCAUAACUUUUCCAGCUAUGUGGCGAGGAUAGCAGUACAGUCUGACAGUC